rnacentral:tRNA from 1 species
UGCCCCAUGGUGUAAUGGCAACACACCUGAUUUUGGUUCAGAUAUUCCAGGUUCGAGUCCUGGUGGGGCAACGA